rnacentral:tRNA from 1 species
GCGCCCGUAGCUCAGGGGAUAGAGCGCCGGCCUCCGGAGCCGGGUGCGUAGGUUCGAUUCCUACCGGGCGCACCA